CUCAGUCAUGCAUGAUCUUAAACUACUCGAAUCGUAUUCCGCAAGGCGAAUUCGAUUUGUUUGGGUACGGUCGGUCGAUCGAUCGUCCUGUACUCGGUCACUUCAGACCGGUCAGGGCGGCAGCGAGGGCGAACAAGGUGAUCGAAUCGUUAUGGACAUGCGGGAUUCGGUCGUUCUAUCCUAUGAAGUGAUUGAAUCAAAAUGACCGAAUCAAUCGCAAUUGACACAACUCUAUAAACAUAUCAUUUCACCAGAAAUCGCGCAUGGCCAGAUAUUUACACGACGUUUAUACCAAUGAAAAACGAACCAAUUUUCUCUGUAUAUUCAUUAUUGUUAGGUUAUCGAACAGUUAUGUAAAGUAAACUUCCGGACGUUUUGAGAGUCGAGAAUUUUUGCCUCAAUAUAUAUAGGUUUACUUGUAAAUUCAGGAAAUGCUAGAAUCUGUUAGUCUUUUGGAUAGUGAAGGCGAUGUCAGCAACACCAGUGUUGUCUGAUUAUAACGAUUUUGCCGAUUUAACCUAAAACAAACCUCCAGAUAUGGUUUGCAUUGAAGAUCUACCAUCCAUGAAUGGAUUGGGUCCUGUAUCUUGUGAACGGUGUUAAAGCAGCCAGAAUUUCCAAUGGAAAUUUGAAGCAAUUGAAAACAGGCUGAUAUCUCUAUUGUGCUUAUGGAACCGGGAUAAUUUUGAACAAAACAUGAGUUUGUAGAAAAAUAAAACUUUUUGGUAAUUUUAGCGGCAAGGAGCAGUUGUUAAAGAUCUAUGAAUAGAAACAAUUUGGUUGCUGUUCUUGUGAAGUUUCUAAUUAGUUACAAGGAUAUUUGGGUGCUGUGUCACAUAGUGGCAACAAUAAAUGUUGCUGCUAGGAGGGAAUUUUAAAGUAGAAGUUUUUGGCAUUCAAAGUGCAUUGGAAGACAUGACUUUCAUAAUUGGCCCUCUGGACACCACUGGACUUCUUUUUAUGUUUUACAACACGUUUCCAGCCAACCCCACCGGAUAAAUGCGUAUUAGAGUCAGCACUAGUUUCAAAAAAGGAAGGUGGAUAGUCGCCAUUUCCAAAAAUUUAUUAUUUGAAGACAAUAGCAAUUUCCACGACCCGUUCAGAUACUUUUCAUGACUACGAAUAGAUCUUUCGUCCGUUCCAAGAGUGCAGACAAGUGGUUUAGGUAAGUCUUUUUGCAUUGUUGUCGAUCUUUGCUAUUGUUAUUCUCCGUAAUUUUAAUAGAUUGGUUAUCCUGGAAUGAAGAAAAAAAAAAGAUUGUCUUUAUAAACCUAGGUCCGCAAAUGCUUAGUUUCCAAAAUGCGGGGUGUUAAAUGUUAAAAAAAUUAUCUCUUACAACUUUUAAAAUAUUUUUGACCGGUUUUUGCAACAUUGUUUAUAAUGGUAAAAAGCCAAGUUUGCUUCCAUUAGAUUGAAAUUGUGGAGUCCAGUGCUGCCCGUUAGGUGUGCUGAUUGUAUUGUCAACUGUGCUCUAUCUACAUUUUUACAAUUUUUCUUAUUUACCUUGAAUAAACCGCUAAAAGUGUCAACUUUUUUGACUCGAACUGUUCGAAAAAAUAAUAAUCAGGAAAAUUGCCAAAACAUUUCAGCAAAUGUCCUAAAAAAUUAAGAAAAUGAUGAAAAUGGGAACCAUCAGUUUAAUUGCAAGCAUGUAGUCAAACAUAAAAAUCUUAGGUAUUAACGGAACUUAAGUCGUUAAAAUAGCUUUGAAUAGGUUUGCUUGAUUGUGGUAGACAAUGAUUUAGUAGCAAUCCUGAGAUUGUCGAAUUUAUUCUUUUUGUUUCGGUCAGAUGCCCCACCACCCCUUAUCAAUUGCAAACGUGUUAAGCGUUAGAUAAGUUAAUUAUUUUUUUAACUUUUGUUGAUGUCUUAACCUACGUGUUUAUAAAACUUUUAGUACCUAUUAUUGUAAAGUAUAUUAAGUGAAUAAUCAGCUUAAAUAUCUCGAGGUGUUAGACGGAAAUAUUUAUCUUAUUUUAUUAUUUAUUUAUUUUUUUGGCUGACGUUUCGCCAAUCGGCCGCUUGGCUUUUUCAGAGGUUAACUCGGUUAGUACAUAAUAGUAGUAACUCAAUAGGUCGGAAGAAGCUUAACUCAGUUAAGUUCUGAAGAAACCAAUAGGUUGAUUGGCGAAUCGUCAGAAAGUUCGAUUCGUUCAGAAUUCACAAGAGUUGUAAAUAACUCUAACUAAAACAAAUAUUUUCCAGUGUACAGCUGAUCAGAAUGUUCUGAACCACUAAUGUUUUCUAUGCUUUGUUUGGCUCUCUUAACUCUCACAUUUCUGCGAUAAAGUAAUGGAGCACUAUAACUAGAAAAAAAUAAUUUUGCGUCAAAUAAUUUUUUUUAAUUUCAAUCUUCAAUUAAUCCUGUUGUCACAUUCAAAAAUAUAAUCCCUUGGAUUUUUUUUUAAUUUCUAUUACAGCAUAAAUUGAUAUAUUUUGCCCGAGUUCUGUCAUUUAUUAAUUUCUAAAAACAAUAAAAUGACUUCUGUAUGAAGGAAGGAUUUUCGUACGUGUUUGUUUAUAAAAUUUUGAAGACCGUGGUAAUCUUGGAAGUUAAGCUCUUGUGAUCUAGAUUUAUAUGAACUUAUGAAUGAAUGUGCAGCCGAAAAUCGGGGCAUGUUUUUUGAAAUACCAUGUAUAGUAUACCAGAUUUACCUUUUUCUUAUUUACCUAAGUUACCCACUAAGUUAUUUAAUUCAAUUUAAUACGGUCAAAUUGCCAAAGAGCUGACCUAAAUUGUAUAUCAUAAGUUAUUGAUAAGUAAUUCAUGUAAAUCAUUGGAAAGAUAAAAAAAAAUGAUUUGUCGCUAAAUUGCCAAAAACCCUUUUUUGACACUAAUUUGUUAAUUAACGUUACAGUUGGUAUGCAGCUUUAACCAAACUAUGCGGACCGAUUUUGUUAAAGUGAUUUUUAUUAAGAAACAAACCAAAAAAUUAAAUGACCGGCACUCUUUUCUGGUUUCUUUAUUUUUUGUUUAUUUCAUUUUUAAAAGUGUGUUUGUCCUUUUUGCUGCUGUUUUUCAGGGUUAUAUAGUUUAAAAUAUAAAAUUAUAAGCGAACAACUGGUGACAAUAUGUAAACUUUUAGAAAAUUUACAUUGUUAUCGUAGCAAAAGACCAUGAGUUACGUUUUAUUUGGUCAAGUUGAAAUCUUGAGUUCGCUUAUUAAAAUUUUUGAGGUCCUUGUUCGUAUGCAUUUCAAAUUAUUUAUAAUUCGCAAGGGUAAAAGAACUACGGACUAGGAGAGUGUCAUCAACUCCAGUUGCGUUAGUAUUAGUUUGAGAAAUUAUUUUUUAUUUCUGACCAGUCUGAUUUAUUUUACAUAUACAUAGAAAAAAAAUGUUCAUAUUAUGAAGUUCUGAUAAAUGUUGUUGUUUGUGGAACAUAUGGUAAAGGUUUUCAACUCCGGUCAAGCUUUUUUUGCAAUUAUUUUUGGAUGAUUGAUAUCAAUAAAUGCGAAGAUUUUGCGUAUUUAUGCUAGUAUGAUAUAGUGUGAUAUUUCUCAGAUUUUUAUGUCGCUGCGGCCAGAUUGUAAUUUAGGUAUUUUUCUUUAGGCAUAGUAAUCAGGGAUUCUUUAAUUGGCAAAUUACGAUAAAACGGUAGUUAUAAUAAUAAAAUUGCUUUAUUUGCAGCACUAAUUAUAAUUAAUGCCUGACCAAUAAUGAAAAUCGUUUAGUUAUAAUAAAAAAAGCGAAAAAUUUAAUUAUCCUCGUACAGUGAUUCACAGUUAAUAUCACACUAGUCAGCAAUACGAUCAAAGUUUAGAAACAUUUGAUCUGACCAUCAUAUCUUUUUGGAUAUCUGUGUAUACAACAUCGCCUUGUCGGUUUUUGUCCAAAACUUCUGAGAUACACUGAGUAAUAUGGGCAAGCUUAGUAGUGGUAGAUCUCUGCAUCCUGAGGUAAAAAGAUCUAUCAAGAAAUUAUUUAAUUUGAAAUGUUUAAUUUAUCGAUGUUUGAGAUACUUAUCGUGUAUAUUUACCAAAUUAAGUGCGUCUGCAGAGUCAGCCAAAAGCGGACCAUUCUUUCACCUGCUUCGAAUCUAUGUAAGCAGAUUUGAUUCCAGGCAUAUCCAUAGGUGAGUAUAAAUGUUUGUAAAUAAUUCAAUAAAAAUCAAUAUCCAACAAAUCGUUUGUGUUGACUACCCCUUUGAUUACCGUCAAUUGUUCAAUAAAAAUCGAUA